rnacentral:rRNA from 1 species
GCAAAGAGGUAGGCGGCGGCCUUGCGGGCGUGGCCGCGGGCGGGGAGGAACUCGACGGAGCGGAAGCCGAGGCGGGCCUGGUCGGCGAGGGUGAGCAGCGCGGCGCCCGGGUGGGACCAGCCGGGCGGGGUCGCCUCGUCCGCGACGGCGAGGAGCUGCCACCCGAGGGCGCCCGCCAGCGGGCGGUGGCGCUGGUGGUGGGGCGACGCGGAGAAGACGAUCCAGUGGGAGGCGCGGAGGUCCGGGAGCGGGGAGGAGGGGAGCCCCGGGAGGGGCGGCACGCGGGACCAGAGGAGGGACGGGUACGGGAUGCGGCGGGGGCCGGGGGACGAGCGGCAGAGCGCGGACGGGGAGGCCCCGCCGUUGAAAAAGAGGAGGAGGAGGAAGGGGGCCGCCGCGAGCGCCGCGAGGAGGAGGUAG